rnacentral:lncRNA from 10 species
UAUGGAAGACCAACAAACCUUUUGAGAAAGAACUCAACCUGAGUAAAGAGACUCUCUGCUCAAGAAGUUGGUGCCAGGGUAAUAGUCUAAUGUUCCAGGGCUGGUCAACUUUGAGAAUAGUCCAGUACCAUCACUUGACUUGCCUUCCAGCCCAGCCACCAUAGACCUAUCCCUGAAUCCCACAGAGAGAGGAAUUACAGUGCAAGAAAGAGGAAAAGAAAAGAGUGCUUCAGUUGCUCUUCCUUGGGGCCUUGGGAAUAUAAGUCAAUGGGUUCAGCAGCACUGGUAUUGACUGCCUUGGCCACAUAAGGACGCAUCUGACCUAGGAUGUUGGGCAUUGGGUGCCCCAUUGUUGAUUUUGGUGGACUUGGCAGAAAACCAGAGGAGAUGGGCAAAUGGUGCUUGCUAUGUGGAAGCUGGGAGGACCAUAUUCACCCAUUUAUUAAUUCACUCUGUGGUGGGCAGUCUUCAUUGUCCAUGACUUAUGUUUUUCUUUUCUGUAGUAACAAAAUUGUAGUUGGCAUGUGGCUGCCAAGAUAUCCUAUGUUUUUAAGCUUCCCUUGUAGUUAGGUGUUGUCAUGUGGAAUGUGAGAAGUGAUUUGUGCUUCUUGCAACGCUGGGACUUUAUACACCCGAUAUGCAUCUUCAUGCUCUCUUUUUCCUCUCUACUGGCUGGAAUUUAUCAACUCAACCUUUGGGUCUCUGAAUGACUCAUAUCAUGGGUCUCUGAAUGACUAUGUGGAGCAAAGCCACCCACUGACAUGGAAUGCUCACCACUAAUUUUUAGUUUGCUUGGGGACUUCCCCAGCCAGUUCUGUGCUCCUCAAGGCGGGAAACCAUGCUUGCCAAUCUUUUGGACUCAUUUUUAAUCGGCUUGGAAAUUUAAUCAGAAUAAUGCCAGGUAUGGAAACCACCGCCUGGGAUUAAAGCAUCAGUGAAGAUGCUGCUUAGGAGGAAUUCAGAUUUUAGAGAAGAAAGGAGGUCAUGAGAGCUCAUUACUGGAUCACUGAACUGGUGCCUCAGCCAUGAACCUGGUGAAGAAUGAGAAAAGAAAUCUUUCUUCCCCUACAGAAACAACUCUUGUACCAAUUCAUGUGGUGAGGUGUGGAGGAGACCCAGAUGUGCCCAGGUACCUCUCCCAGCCCCAGGAGGGGUAGUGAAAGGGACUGGACAAGAUCCAAACAAGCCUGCUUUAGAACCCAGCAAGACACGAGGAAGGUGACCUCCAGCAGCUGGUUGAAGGAUGUGGCAGAGCUUGAUUCUAGAGACUGGGAAGUUCAAG